AAUUUGGUUUUAUUUAAAACCAUAUACUGAAAGUUUAAAAUCUAA
rfam:Gossypium raimondii chromosome 10, whole genome shotgun sequence.